UUUCCUUUCCGGUAAGUCAAAUAUGGUAUCUCUUAAACUCCAUACCUUCCUCCCAAACUAAAGUGCUUUACAACCCGAAGGCCUUCUUCACACACGCGGCAUUGCUGGAUCAGGGUUGCCCCCAUUGUCCAAUAUUCCCCACUGCUGCCUCCCGUAGGAGUCCCCCCGUGCCCCCGCCCCGCCCGCCGCGCGCGGCGGGCAGGGCGGGGGCACGGGGGG
rnacentral:rRNA from 1 species